GACGGAGGAUGCAAGCGUUAUCCGGAAUGAUUGGGCGUAAAGCGUCUGCAGGUGGCAGUUCAAGUCUGCUGUCAAAGACCGGGGCUUAACUUCGGAAAGGCAGUGGAAACUGAACAGCUAGAGUAUGGUAGGGGCAGAGGGAAUUCCUGGUGUAGCGGUGAAAUGCGUAGAGAUCAGGAAGAACAUCGGUGGCGAAGGCGGGUCUCUGGGCAACAACUGACGCUGAGGAGCGAAAGCGUGGGGAGCGAACAGG
rnacentral:rRNA from 1 species